CCUGUUUUCCAUGCUUUGCUCUGUGCUAACCAUUGUCUGCUCCUGUGGCCUGUCCCCACUGUGGUGAUAGGACCAAAUAGUUGGUUUAGCUCUGGUUUAGGUGCCCAAAGGAUGCGCUGUAAUGUGAAUCAAAGUGCAGAAGCAGAGGACAAAUGGAAUAUUUGCUUCAAAGCAAAGAAGACCAUGAGUUCCCAGCCCUGCAGAUGGGAACCUGCAACCCUCCCUCUGGGUGAGAUCCCUUCACUAG
rnacentral:lncRNA from 1 species